ensembl:lncRNA
UUUUUUUUUGAUAGGGGGAGAAAGAUUGCAGGGUUUUGUCCACGAACCCCAAAAUAAAAGCCUUACAAAGCUUUCACUGAAGCACCUGGGAAAGCACAGGAGAGGGAUUCGCCUUUGUUCCUGCUGAUUUCCUAUUUUGCAGUCCGCCAGAAUAGGUUGUACAUUUUCCUUUCUCACAGUAUAGCUUUGAAAAUCAGAAUUUUCACAGACAUAUCUUAUUAGCUGUUUUUAAAAAUAUAGGUUUAAACACUUUUUUCUUUCUUGUUUUCACUUUCUCUUUUCGUUUUCUGCUUCAUGCGCAGAUGACAGUGACCAAUCAGGUCAGAAACAAAGGGCACUUUCAAACAUUAUUGAAAGAAGUUUCAGAAAGCGAAUAUUUUCCAGAAGGGGAGGAAAUAUGUGGAUAAAAAGUCUUCGAUGCUGUGCAUUCACAAUGGAAGAUCUACACAGCGUGUAUUGCCGUGACUGUGAAAUAGAAUUUCCUGCAGUAGGAUUUGCUUUUGGACAGAGGUUGUAAAGUCACCUUUCUGUCUGUCAGAGCAGAUGGACUCCUGCAGCUCCUUGAGGCAAUGCGAGGAAUGAUAAGGAAGGCAGAACCAGAGCCCGCAUUUGUGCACCGUUAAACUUUGCAUUGCCUCUCAGUCACUGUUGGAACUGGUUUAUCAGUUCUAAAGACUUUUUUCUCUUUAACAGGAUGAAGUAUUCCAUGGGAAAAGGUGGCUGUUUUUUUUCUUUUUUUUUUUUUCAUCCAUUUUGGCUCCAAAAUGAGGAAUGUAGGAGCAGAAAAUAUCUUCUGUUACAAACUGAAGUAACCCCUGUUUUUAUUCAACAUUCUCAGCAUUCGGCUUCUGGAAACACAGGUAUAACAAAGGAAAACACUGCAUUAAUUUUGUUUUUUAAUAAGGAUAGCAGAGACCUGGCCACUGCUUGUACUGCUAUGCCCAUGCUCAAGGAUUUGGGCUCAGCAGAGCAACUCAGAGUGACUAAAACAGAGUACACAAACCGCUUGCUGCAGAACUGGGAUUGCUGUGCCUGGAGGACGGCUCUAAUGCUUUCCAGGCUCAUGCACUCAGCGAGCUGCCGCUCUCCGCCGAGCAUCUUUCUAACCUGUUUUGAUCCUGGCAGCAUUGGCAAGGUUGCUCCUAAAACUCAGUAGUUUGAGCAGAAUAUUUCCUUCCAAUGUUUUCCCCCUUCUCACAGCUUUUAAGUGGGAAGGACGGACGUUUAUUCACAAAGCAGUGGAGUACCGUGGUGUUUCCCUGUUUCCUUUUUUUUUUUACCCUGUUUAGAUGUUUGUGGCACAGAUGUGAAUUAAAAUAAUAAUAAUAAUAAUAAUAAUAAUAAUAAUAAUAAUAAUAGUGGCAAAUGCUUCUAAUUCUGGUGGUGCUGUAUUUCCUGGAGGGACCUCUCCACGUUGCAGCCUCCUUGUGCUGUUUGUUACCAUGUCAAUCCCCAUUUUCCUUCGAACUCCGGUAUGCCGCAUACCACUGAAUUUGCAUGAAAAGUGUCUUUAUUGUAAGCAAAAUCUUGUCAGCCAGGUAUGCAACAUCCUGCAUCAGUAACCAUGUUGGUGGAGCUGGCUUUUCCCUCCCAGGGAAAGCUGGAGGGGUUUUACAAAAUAUAUCCGUGGAAGAUCCCGAGGGCUGUUUUAUAAUGGAAGCAGGAAAAGGAGAGUGUGUGUCAGAGAAGAGAGAGGAUGCAUUAGUUAUUUGUUGUCUGUGCAAUGGGAUGAAGAAUAUAUACCCAUCCAAACAGGCUUAUAUCCACAUUCCUGCAUUUAUCUGCAUUUCCUUUUGCGAGCACGAAGCUUCAAUGUCUCCGCGGUCUGUGAGCUUUGCAUUAACGUGAUAAGAGCGUUUCCUCUGUCUAGGCGUUCUUUAAAUUGAGCUUUGUGCAUGAAAUAAAUGGUUAUUUCAGAG